GGGGCCCUCGAUCUAUCCAAGCGAGAGAGCGCGUUGAGUGCGCGCUGUCUAUUGUAGCGAAACUACGUCAUGUCUCUUCUCUCGUUCGUCGCGACUUCUUUGUCUCCGCACCGUUGCUCAACAACCUCGUUUGUUGCAAUCGUGAUUUUUAUCGUGCGUCCCGCAAUAAAACACGCGGAAGAUUUCAGGUGGACUUCGCAUCUCUCGGUUAGAGGUUUUAAUUCGCGGCUCGGCCGUACAGAUACGAGACUCUAAAAAACUAGAAAGUCGCGAUAAGCGGUGACCUCCCCUCCGCCUCCGUCAGCUCCUCCUACCCGAUCUUGCCACUGAGGAAAAUUCGAUUCCGAAUUGCUCGGGGAAUCCAUCGUCGCUAGAUAAUGCGAUAGAAGUGGGACACGCUCCGCGUGUUACUUUGUUCUUGACGUAACUUUUUAUUUAUAGAGCGCGAAAGCUUUCACGUCCGCCACCUAUAAUUACGUUCUACAAGCACCUGCGAUCAGCUGCUCUCAUUGGUCUCUUUGCGCCAGACUGAUUGUCUACCCGAGCGAGCCUAUUUCACCUUCUAUCAGCGGCGUUCGCGGCUGGUCGCGCGCGCUCACGACGAGGACGAGAAUGUGGACGGGCUACUUACGGUGACUGAUGAUAGAUAUUGACGGCGUGCGGCAUCUUGCGAGCUUUUUCGUUCCUGAAGGCGGACGGCGUUAAAAGAUGUAUGGAACGGGUGUUGAUCUUCGUGA